GUAGGGGCGCGGUAGGCGGCGGAGCAUAAGCAAAGGGGUUGCAGCUGCGGCGGUCGAGCGAGUCCGUCGUGGGGGUGUGAGUAGCGCUGCCCUCCCCCCCUUCCCUCCCCCCCUUUUUUUUUCCGACCCUUCCCCCUCCCUUUUUUUUUUUUUCUUCUCUAUCCUCUCCCCUCCCAUCCUCGCCGAGGGAGCCGGCGCUCGGAGAUGGGGCUCGGGUGCUGAGCCGCCAGCCUCCGCCCUCACACCCCCGCCGGAACUGUUUGCACUAACCCCGCACUCCUGGGCUUGUUCCCGCUGGGCUGAGCCUGCCAAUGAAGGCACAACCUCAAGGAGCUGCUAUGGGAGAUGCUCUACUGGCCCAGUUCAAGGGAUAAGUGCAGGCAUCCUGUGCUGGAGCUGCUCUGUCUGCACCACCCAUCCCACCUGUCUCCCAGUGCCACCCGACAGGGGCUGGUGACAGGCUGAUUUCCUUGGCCUCGGCUGCUGCUUUUGGAAGAGUCCCACUCGCUUGGCUCUCCCAUUGUGGGAGGACCAGAAAAGGAGGAUGGAUGAGGAGCAGGAUGAGCCUAC
rnacentral:lncRNA from 1 species